AUGGCUGCCUCCUCUUGCUUCCCAUUAGCUGCCCGCUACAGCCUCUUGCUCACGGCAACACUGGUCCUAGCGCUGAGCCACGGAGCCUACGGUUAUGGCGAUGCCGGUGCCGUGUUGGGCUCAUCCUUGUACGACGACUCAUGCCCCAGUGCGUGCGACAUUGUCCGGCGCGUCAUCCAGAACGCCCGUGUCGCCAACACGCGCAUCCCAGCCAGCCUCAUCCGCCUUCACAUCUACAAUUGCUUUGUUGAGGGCUGUGAUGGCUCGCUUUUGCUCGACAACAACCUCCCACCGAUCAUGAUUAAGGAGGAGGUCCCUGCCAACGACAGGUCAGCGCGCAGGCUCGAUGUGGUCGACGGUAUCAUGCAUGCGCUGGAGAACGCAUGCCAUGGCAUCGUGUCCUGUGCUGACAUCCUCACCCUCGCCUCCAAAAUCACAGUUGAGUCGGCUGGAGGGCCUCGCUAG
rnacentral:rRNA from 1 species